rnacentral:lncRNA from 1 species
UAAUAUCUGUGAGCAGCACUAACCUAUGCCUGAGUGAAGAGACAUAUAAGUAGGUGCAGAUUGGUGUAGGCUUUGUGCUGCCUUAUAACAGUGGCAGUAUAUUUAAAGUGUACAUCAGAUGCCAAGUGUGCAAUAGAUGUGGGCCUGUGGACACCAGCAGAAGCUGGGGAAAGACGCCUGACUGGGCAGGCCUGGCGCACAGUUUGGAUUCAACCAGAAAGCUUGCGGCAACACCGGAGAAAGUGGCUGCUGUGAAGAGUGCAGAUUGGUGUGGGAUUUGUGAUGCCACUCAACAAGUGGCAUUACAUACUAAAGUGUACCUCCGAAGCCAAGUGCGCAUUAGGUCUGGCACAGCACCUGUGGACACCAACACAAGCUGGGGAAAGAAGCCCGACUGGGCCGGCCAGCCGGACUAUCUCUGAUGCAUCUGGGAAGCUUCUGGCAACACCAGAGAAAGUGGCUGCUAUGAAGAACUGCCUGGAGAAAUCCAUAAGUGAC